GGUGGAGAGUGAGGGAGGGAGGGGAGGGAGAGUAGGAGGGAGGGUUGUGCAAGGGAGGGAGGGAUGCCGCGAUAUACUGUCAAGACAAAACGCCUGAGAAAGAUGAUGAAGCUCAUUUCUGGAGGCUGAAGAUUUGAUUUGCUGCAAAUUAAUAAUAGACAGCCCUCGCUUUGAGGAGAGGAGCCUCUUUAUUAUGAUAAUGAUAGAGUCAUAAUGAAGCCCACUGGUGAAUAGUUAUUUAUCCUUUUAUCCACUGUCUGUCUUCUCUAUGGCUGUCGGUGUCUCUCUGCCAUCCUUUCCAUCCUCUCCGAAUCACUGUUCACUCCAGCUCUCGCUCUUUCUCACUCUCUCACACAAUCAAUCAUUUGCAAACCCCAUGUGCCCCCCUCCCUCCCCCCCCCCUCCCGUUCCUCAUCUCAACACGUAUUCACUCAUUCGCUUGCCUGUUCUGAGCUCUCUCUCUCUCUCUCUCUCUCUCUCUCUCUCUCUCUCUCUCUCUCUCUCUCUCUCUCUCUCUCUCUCUCUCUCUCUCUCUCUCUCUCUCUCUCUCUCUCUCUCUCUCUCUCUCUCUCUCUCUCUCUCUCUCUCUCUCUCUCUCUCUCUGUGUGUGUGUGUUGAGGAUGCCCUUCCCCCACACACUCUCUCCCCCGGCUUAUCGUUAUCUUACUUGCCCCAUCGUUCUCUCCUUCUCUCUCAUAUGAUUAGCUCGUUCAUUGUGUUGCCUCUCUCUUCUCACCCGCCAUGCCCCCACUUCCCAGCCUCCCACUCGCUGCCUCACCUGUUGUUAAGUAACACGUGAUGCUGGGUUGCAGUUGCUACGCCCACAAGAAAACAAAGAGACCAGGGAAGAUGUGUAAUGUAAGAUAUAUUUAUAUAUAUAUAUACAAGAUAUGUAUACGAGUGACUGUAUAUAUAUUAUAUAUAUGUAUAUAUAUGACUGGCAAGCGUGUGCUCUCAAUCCACAAUCCAUUUUUGCAUUACAUUAUAGGAUCAUUACUGGCUGCCUAAUUCCAUCUCAUCAAGUCUCAUUAUCCAUCAAGCUCGCAUAGACCGGCCCCUGGGUUUCUCUUGGAUAUCAAUUUGGUGUGAAUGCAUUAUACAUGAUGAUCACCAUAUCUCCAGCCACAAGGAGAAUGCCGCCGUGUUUGUGUCGAGGUUCUUGUGCAUUCUAAUGAGGUUUCAUGUUUAAGUGUUUUUUUCAGAUUCAUACAAAAGGCAGGGAAAUAAUGGGUGUGGGUAGGGGAUGUGUGUAGGGCUGAUGGACAAUUCGUGGAAUGCAAAUUAUAAGAACCUAAGCUUGCGGCCGUGGUCAGAGAAAUGGCUUCAAAUUUGAAUGUAGUGCUAAGAAUUAAUGUCACUGACCGUGGCAGCGGUACAUACAAUUCUUAAUGAAAACGGACACAGCCAAAGAAUUGAAUGGGCUUAUUAUUAUAGCAAUCAAAACCAGAUGUAUUGACAUUUAAACUAAGCCUGAAAAGAAGUUCUGCCUGCUUGAUCAUUAGAACACAUUCCUAGAAAAUAGUUAGGGGAAGGCUAGGCUGGGCCUAGUAUCUUGGCUGCUAUUGCAAUUUCCUACUGAAGAAGCAAACGUAUCCAAAUCAAUUGUGUUUCUCCACAAUGUAACAAAUUGGUUAGCAAAAAGGAUGUCUAAUUUAUCUGUAUUAAAUCAACCCUGACCAGCAAUACAAAAUUCUAGAAUUUGCAAUAUACGUUUCGUAUCCAAAACAAUUAUUUCAAAUUCGACGGAAUACGGCAGAAUAUGCAUUGGCUGAAAUGGCCACCAUAUUUUUCUUCAGACAAGCAUUCUUGCUUCUGAGCUCAUAUUGGUUUCCUGCAAACUGGUUGGUUUUCCCUGCACUAUAGGUUCUAGUGAUAUGGCCUUGAUCCAAAGCAAAAAACCUUGUGUUUGGCUAGUACUGUACUAUGUGGUAUGGGGGUAAUGCAGUAGACAAUAGACUUACAAUUUGCUUAAACAUUAUAAUCUGAACAUUGAAGUUGCCAUGUUCCUCAUUAUUUCCCACAGUGCAGUGCAACUACAAGCCAUAAGAUGCCUACGGUUAUGUCCUCAACCUGAGCAAACAGGCAGGAUCUGGGUCAUUGCAAUAUAAAAAAGGAAAGAUUAUGUAUGAUAUGAAGUUAGCCCAAUUCUAUCCAAUGCUCCACUAAUCCAUUAACAAAGACCUACAAGUAAUGCAACUUCCCCAUGCAACUCUAAGGCCAAAGCCAAACUGAAUACAAUGAAGCACUAUAGGGGUUGUAAUACAAUGUAUUUGCAUUGUUAUUAGGUAUCUACAGAGUGUCUUUGGAUACCUAUUGUUAUUCAAGGGUUUAGGUAUUAUUAUUAAUCCGGAUUUGUACGCCUAUAGCUCAGCCCCUGAUAGAAAAUAAGUUUUCAACUUUGUCUAUGACUUUUGUAUUCCUGGUGAGCAGGUCGCCGAAAAAGGUUGGUGGCAAUUUUCCAAUAUGGGGCGCUUUAAUCAAACUAUCAGCCCCGCCGCCUGGUGGAUUUGUAUUUCUGAAACAUGCCUUAUUGUACAUGUUGAGAAAUGUUGCCUCUUGGAUUUGUUAUGUACCCGUUUGUGUGAGUGUGUGUAUGUGUCUGAAGUGUCUGUGUUUGUGUGCGUGUAUCUUCGGGAGUAAAAAGAUAUUGAGUGCUGAACAACAUAGACCCCCCCCUGUCGUUGCGUCUCGGAGUAAUGACCGUGAUCUGCUUGAAAAGGGCGGUCGCUGGUUAUUUAUAUUUUUUUGUAUAUUGAAUAAAUCUGUCAAUGUGAUCUUUGCUCAGGAUCUGCCAGCUGUCCCCCCCCCAUAAGCAGGCCGUCAAAAAAACGCGUCUCUGUAGGCAGCCUAUGCUCCGAGAUCGUACACAAAAAAAAUGUAUACUACCAACCACUCAAAACCAAAAUAAAUAGUAUUCCAACCAAUCACCGACAAGAGGUGGGUGUUGUGGGGUCUUGCGCUCAUUAUAGUUUUUACUGGAUGCACGAAAAAUGGAAGGGAGGGGCUAGCUGGCUCUGUUUGUUUGGGAUCUCGCUUCAAAUACCAACAGAAGUGACGUCCCCCAACAUCGCUGAUACAACCUUUAAGAUAUUUUACACAAUAAAGCAAUGCUGCAGACCAUUGGUAUUUGAACAGGCUUGAUUGUCACUGACACUGUACAAGAUCAUUUGAUGAUCAAGUUUGAUUUAUUUAUUUGCACAAUACAAUAAAAGUAGUGGAUGGUGAACAUUGGCAGAGGGAGCACGUUUCCAUCGGCAUUAGAAGACAUUUUGAGCGAUGUACCGAUACAAGUUCAGGAGAGGGACAGAUAACCCAGAGAGUCCCUCCACUCUAGCCCCAUGGGCCCCUGCUGUCUGUUUGAACCAUGUAUGGAUAUAUGUCACGCUAUGGGAACACAUUUGGAUGCCAUCCACGAUCGCUGGGGGCCUAGGCUAAAUCCAACCAUAACAUUACGUGAUAACCGAUGGUCAAAUAAAGGAUGGAUAUUAAAUAAAUAGUCACACUCCUCAUCUAAAGCCAGAACGGGGAGGCAUACUCAGCGUUCCAAAGGCGGGUCUGUUGGUGAUAAUGGCUGGACACUGACUGAUGAUUCCUAACUAUUGUCCCCUCAAUAACGCCAUUGUUUUGGCUUUUCAGCUUUCAUUUAACAUCGCUAGACCAACCGUAGGUUUUCUCCUAAGUUCCCCUUUUAAGACGCUUCAUUAUGGAGUGUGAAUAUCCAAUAUAUUACAAACCAUAACUAGCUUUGACAAGAUCAGUACACAAUGCCCAUGGAUCAUUCAACCGUUUGCUUGCCUUACUAUUUACAUUGUGUAUGUACACCCUUGGGUUGCAUACAAUCUCAGCAAUCAAUUGCGUACAAAACAGGACUGAGUUGAGUUAACAGCUCAGCAAGAUCUUUCCUACAGUAACAGAUAGAUGGUUAUAGUCAUUGCAGCUCUUGCACGUCAAGAUUUUCCAUUUUCAAACGCUGGUGUCUCCUAUGGAUCUAACAUGGUUUUAGUCAACGUUUCCUUGGGAAGAAUGAGUUCUCCUGUAAGCAUUAGUUUAUUUUCCUUGAUUAAUAUGCAAUGGAAUUCCUGUAUUUUAACCAUUGAUGUCAUGUUUUGUGUUGUUAUUUUCAUGUACAGAGAAUUGGAUUCAACCUUGGGCUCUCUGUACAAUGAUUUGAUCCCUCAGCGUCUAGGGUGCUUCCCUCGUCAACAACAUAGGAACAACCAGGGAUAAAACCGACGAAGCAUAACAAAAAAUAAACAUGAUGGGUAAUAAAAGCCAUAGAAAGAAAAUGUCCACAGUAAUGUAAGAAGCGUCGCCCAAUUUAAAGGAAGUUGCUCAUGUGCAUCUGAGACUGCAUAUUAUAAGGCGGCUGAAAACUGCCAAUCAUCACAACCAAUUUUAACGUGCAUAUUGUAUUAUACUGUUUGUGUGUGCAUGCAAAAAACA